rnacentral:rRNA from 1 species
UACAGACGGUCCAGCGUUAUCCGGAAUUAUUGGGCGUAAAGAGCUCGUAGGCGGUUCGUCGCGUCGGCUGUGAAAUCCCGAGGCUCAACCUCGGGUCUGCAGUCGAUACGGGCGGACUGGAGUUCGGCAGGGGAGACUGGAAUUCCUGGUGUAGCGGUGAAAUGCGUAGAUAUCGAGAGGAACACCUGCGGCGAAGGCGGGUUGCUGGGCUGAUACUGACGCUGAGCGCGAAGACCAGGGGAGCGAACGGG